UACGCCAUCUUCUCUCAAACCCAGCAGACGAACUCCAUGAACCAAACUCCGGGCACCGGAGUUAAGCCCCAGGUGGCCUGCAAGACGACCGAACACCACCAUAGGCGCAAGCGUGGCGGCAUCUUGAAAGGCCUACUAAGGUGCCUCUGCUUCCGCUCGCCCCCCACGAAACGUGGAGACGUCGUAAUGGAUCGCCGGAGAGGUGGAGGAUGGAGUUAAAUGAGUGAAUAAAGCAUGCUGAAUCUAGUCUUCGUAUUGAUAUAUGUAUACAGAUGCUGAAUAAAGCAUGCUUAUCUACAGUUACUGAAAAUCUCAAA
rnacentral:lncRNA from 1 species